rnacentral:rRNA from 1 species
AUGGAAAGAAAAGAAAAGAAGAGAGAAAACGCCGCGCACAUUUCAUCGCCGUGGUUUUCAAUCAUGCAUUAUUACUCGUUGGAUGCACCAUCAACGGACGGUCAUCCGGGUUCUGUGAUCCAUGGAGCAUCAGGACACCCUGAAUUCAUGAGGUACCCUCAUCAUCCACCUUCACCUAGAAGUCUAGAACUGGAAACGUCCCAAGCCGAUCCUAAAAAGAAAAGAAAAAAGAAACGUCCGCGAGUACCCAUGGCACGGCACGGCACGGCACUCAACUGCGCCAGUACAAAACUCCACCCCUCACCCGUGCGCGAACAGCCGCGCCGAAAAAAACUGAAAGCGCAAGCCACCAAGGGUCAGCCUCGCAAACUCGCCGGUGACAUGCCACGUCGCCGCCGCCGCCGCCCAAACAAACAAACUUUGGAGCUAAUUACGUACCUGGCAAACAAUAGAGAGAUAGAGAGAUUAUAA